AUCUACAUUGUAAUAUAUUGAUGGAUGAUUGACAAUUACUAACAAGUGUCUUUAAGCCAAACCCAAGGCUUUGCGCUUGUCCUUGAUAGCUUCUGCCAACCUCUGGAAACCUAAAUCCGACUCCUCCCCAAGGUCAACAAUAGAGAAGGAUACUCGAACAUGAGAGCUCUUCCUUCCAGUGGGGUAGAAACUAAGCACAAAGUACACCUAACACACCCUUCGCAAGAGCCUCGUGUCUGAUCAAUUCAUAGGUAUCCUCGAUACCAGCGGGCCUAAGAUCGAUCCAGAGGAACAUUCCAGCCACAGGAGAAACCCAAGAAGCCAAACCGUCGAGAUACUUGUGAGCGGUGGCUUCGAAUUGAGCUCGACGCUCGGCGUAGAGCUUGGCGACUGCUCGGCCGUGGGCUAGGAAACCCUCAAUGCCCCCUACAUCAAAACGUUAGGCAUACAAGGAGGGGCAAAGAGGAUAUGGCAUACAGUACUGCAUGAGGCGAAGAGCGACACCUUGAGAGACAGCACUGGUGUGCAAGUUGGCACCAGCAGUGCUCACAUCAAUAGCGUGAAGGAUUUCCUUAGGGCCGGUUGCAAAGCCCUAUGAUAUGCGUCAACGAAUUGCUUCUACGGGGCGCCAAGAUGACAUACUAAUCGCAUACCGGCGGAGAGAAGUUUAGAGAAAGAGUCGAAUCGAACAACAUGACCUCCUUCCGGGUAGACUUGCUUUUCGAGGGCGAAGUAACUGGGAAUGAGCUUUUGAGCGAGGUAAUCUAUUGAUCGUCUGCAUGUGCGAAUCAGCAUAAGAUCGACUUUUUAUUAUUACUGAAAACCACUCACCCUCAAAGAUUAAAACGUCGUACUUCUUGCACACCUUCAAAACCUCCAACUUUCUCUCCUUGGGCGCAGAACAUCCAGAGGGGUUGGAGCCAAUAGGAGAGGUGUAAAGCACCCUUGGCCUCUUUUUGUCUGCAGGCCACUCGCUCAAGACCUUCUCCAGGUUCUUAGCCGAUAGGCCAUGGUCAUCGACAUCAACCUCGACUGAUUCCGCUUUCAGAACCCUCAGAGCAGGGAGAACGCCUGGGUACAUAGGGGUCUCGAGCAAUACGGGGUCUCCAGGGUUUAGUACGGCCUGAAAUCCCUUGAACAUCAAGUCCUGACUACCGCUUCCGAUAGAAAUAACGUAAUCACCUCUUGGUCGCUCGUGCACGUGGGCUUGCAAGUCAGCAAGCCAUUCACAGAGCUUGGGAAUACCGGAAGAAGGGGCAUAUUGGAGGGCAAUAGCAAGAUCAGGGUCCUCAAUGGUGAUGGAAACGGGCAUGUUGUUGGAGGACUCGGAAACGCCAAGAGGGGGUUUGAGGUUGAGGGUAAUGGAGUUGAAUGGGAAGGUGUCAGGGUUGGGUCGGCCGGCACUGAGGCAUAUUAGUAAUACAAUUUGUGGGAGAAAAAUAGCCAUACAGCUACUCUAGGUAAGCGCUUGCUUCAAAGAAUCAAGAUUUGACAUACGAAGGAGACAAUGCCAGGCCCUUCGCAAGCCAUUAAACCACGAACUGUGAAAAAAAAUUAGCUCUACCUACCCCCUUGUACCCCCGCCCUGAUUCAGCACACCCACUUCCAUCAAUCUCGGUAACCUUUGCCCUGUCGCUGAGGUGGCUUCGAGGGUUGUACUUGCCGGUUGCGCCGUUGGCCUUAGUUCCCGCGGCCUGAACCUGGGUGACGGUUUCUGUGGAGAUAGUAGCAGCGGUCAUGUUGUCUGUGAAUGGAUGGAUGUAUAGAGAGAGGACGCUGGAGAAUGGUAUUAAGGUAUAUAUAUAGGGUGUGAUAUGAGCGCUGUGAAGGUUGACGGUCGGAUCUUGAGUCGACGCAAUUAAACGACCGAGAUGGAUAAGACGGAUGGAGUCGUCGAGCGGGGGUCUGUCGGGUUCGGAUAAUUAAUCGAUUCGCGCGCGAUAACAACUUUUUCAUUCGGUCAUGUCCGAUUCACCGCACGCACACCACCAUACCGGCCGACCACUUGUACAAUGUACUACAGAUCUGCCAGCUCCCCUGUAUCCAUAUAAUAGCGCUGUCAUGCGUGAAAACGAAGAAUAAAUGCUGAUGCAUUCCUA
rnacentral:sRNA from 1 species